rnacentral:rRNA from 1 species
AGUGAACGCUGGCGGUAGGCCUAACACAUGCAAGUCGAACGGCAGCACAGUAAGAGCUUGCUCUUACGGGUGGCGAGUGGCGGACGUGUGAGGAAUACAUCGGAAUCUACUUUUUCGUGGGGGUUAACGUAGGGAAACUUACGCUAAUACCGCAUACGACCUACGGGUGAAAGCAGGGGAUCUUCGGACCUUGCGCGAUUGAAUGAGCCGAUGUCGGAUUAGCUAGUUGGCGGGGUAAAGGCCCACCAAGGCGACGAUCCGUAGCUGGUCUGAGAGGAUGAUCGGCCACACUGGAACUGAGACACGGUCCAGACUCCUACGGGAGGCAGCAGUGGGGAAUAUUGGACAAUGGGCGCAAGCCUGAUCCAGCCAUACCGCGUAGGUGAAGAAGGCCUUCGGGUUGUAAAGCCCUUUUGUUGGGAAAGAAAAGCAGCAGGUUAAUACCCCGCUGUUCUGACGGUACCCAAAGAAUAAGCACCGGCUAACUUCGUG